ensembl:snoRNA
UGUUGUGGUGGCUUCUUUCUGGCACAUUUGUUAAGUUUUGAAAUGGGCUUGAAUCUGCCACAUACAUUAUGUCGGAGCUGGCAAGGGUUCAAAGACUGAGAGGUCUCUUGAGCUUUUUGUGCAUCUAAGAUCUGCUCCUAUAUGU